GAUCAUGGCUCAGGAUGAACGCUAGCUACAGGCUUAACACAUGCAAGUCGAGGGGCAGCAUGGUCUUAGCUUGCUAAGGCCGAUGGCGACCGGCGCACGGGUGAGUAACACGUAUCCAACCUGCCGUCUACUCUUGGACGAGCCUUCUGAAAAGGAAGAUUAAUACAAGAUGGCAUCAUGAGUCCGCAUGUUCACAAUGAUUAAAGGUAUUCCGGUAGACCGAUGGGGA
rnacentral:rRNA from 1 species